UGGAGCAAAACACGCUCAAAGUGGUGUUUUGCGCCAAUCGCCCAUCUCGGAGCAUUUCUGCUCUCCAAACACCCCCUGGGGUCUUCCUUCACCUGGUGAUGUCACAACGUGAGGCCCCGCCCCACCCUGCCCCUAAACCCACGGCCAGUUUCUCCGAGCACUUGAUGUUUUGCCGCGCGCGUUACAUAAAUGAAGCGUUACUGCUGCAAGCGCCCGGCCGGGAUAGCUUUCAAAUCAGAUUGAAUAAAAAGGAGCCCUAUUUACAGCAAAAUGUUUGAUACAAGCUUAGUCAUUCAAAACAUUGAAUCUGCAAAGUUGGGAGUCGCACUUUCCGUCCAUCCCGCCGCUUGCUUUUGACAUUUGUACAAUAUGUCGACAUAAAAGGGGGGCCAUAAGUAACAUGAUGGCAGCAUUCUCAUGAGGAAAUCUUGUAGUUUGCCUACUUGUCUUUAUUGCUCCUUUUGAUGGCACAUGGGCAGGAUUUUUCGGAAAUCAAAAUGCAGCAGUCGCAUUUGGCAUUGGAUUUGUCAGUGUUGCAUUGGUGCAUGAUGCGCUCCUAGCUUGCGCAUCAUGCGCCAAUGCCGACGACCGACCGAUCGACCGACCGGAAUACAAACUUUAUCCGUAUUACUCGCAGGG